CAGACAGAUGUGCACCAGAGGCCUGGCAGUUGAGGACAGGGAGCUUUCUCCACUGAAAGGACCUAAAAGCAUUAACAUUCCAUAGCAUGAAGCACCUCAGCUACCCAGAUCUUGGUUCCUAAAUACCGUCUCUCACUAAAAGGAACCAGAACUCCUUGGCAAAAUGGCUGAUUCCAAGGCUGGGCCAGAGGAGGUAUAAGGACAUGGAACAGAACUCAAAAUAGCUGCACAGAACUUGGUCACUAAGAUUUUUUUUGACAAGAAUAGAUUACAUUAGAGCUAGCAUUUAUCGCGCCUUCCCACGGGCCAGGCACGUGUAUUCACUGCGUCCUCAGGACCGGCCCACGGAGAGAAGCCGCUGGGCACAGGAGGCUGGAACAGCCACUCAGGAACUGAACAGGCCAGUGCAGCCUCUCACCGGGGCGGCUCAGGUGACCACCGGGGCCCAGCAGCACCCUGGCCUUCCUCUGUCUUCUCAGCUCUCCCACUACAUUGCACUGCUGUCUGCUCAGUUCUGCUCCUUGACCACGCAGGAAGCACUGUGAGGACAGCACCCACGAUCUCAUUCUCUCCUGCAUCCUCGAACUUCACACAACGGCUGGGGUGUAGAAAACACUGAAUAAAUAUUUGUUGAGUAAGAAUGAGUAAAUGG